rnacentral:rRNA from 1 species
GACGAACGCUGGCGGCGUGCUUAACACAUGCAAGUCGAACGCUGAAGCUCAGCUUUUGUUGGGUGGAUGAGUGGCGAACGGGUGAGUAACACGUGAGUAACCUGCCUCCUUCUUUGGGAUAACGCCCGGAAACGGGUGCUAAUACUGGAUAUUCACUGGUCUUCGCAUGGGGGUUGGUGGAAAGGGUUUUUCUGGUGGGGGAUGGGCUCGCGGCCUAUCAGCUUGUUGGUGGGGUGAUGGCCUACCAAUGCUUUGACGGGUAGCCGGCCUGAGAGGGUGACCGGUGACAUCGGGACUGAGGUACGGCCCACACUCCGACGGGUGGAAGCAGUGGGGCGUAUUGCACGAUGGGGGCAAGUAUGAUGCUACGACGCCGCGGGAGGGAUGGAGGAUUUCGGGUUGGGAACCUCUUUCGCACAUGGUCAAGCCGCAACAAUGGUUGUUGUGAGGGUAGUGGGUAAAGAAGCGCCGGCUAACUACGUG